CUGCAAAGCUGUCAAAAUAGCAGAACAGUGGCCUGGAACUCUCCCCUCCAGAGGUCCAGGGCAUGUGGGCAGACUCACAGAAACAGAUGGCUAGACAUGGAAGAAAGGCUAGAUUUUGAUUUUUUGCUUUAUAAAUUCAGCAAAUUGGGCACAGCAGCAAUAGUCAGAUUCUAUCUGGUUCACUCCCAGCAAACCAGACUCUUGUGGAUCUGCACGGCUUCACGUGGCUCCAUUUCUUUUCCAAGAUGAUCUCAUCUUGCAAAUGGGCUUUCAUCCUGACCAGGAUGCCUGAGGCUUUGCAAGGGAGAGUAUUAUGCUGGUUGGCCUGUCAGAGUCUCCAUGAUGCAUCCCCACCACCCACCCCUCCAGUUCUCAGGCCUGCAAUGCUUUUCCUGCAUUUCUUCAUCUGGACAGCCUUCAACAUUCCUCAAGGCUCAGCUGAGUAAUCACUUCCUCCAGGAUGCCUUCCCUGAGUCCAUGGGAUAAAAAUAGCAACCAAUUAAUUAGCACUUAACUGAGUACCAGACAAAUGGAAUAAGCAUUCUACACUUUGCAUCAUGUAAUACUUCAACAACUCUGAGGAAACAGAACCCUGAGAAAGUUGAGUGGCCUGCUCAUGGUCUACCUUAGCAGCUAAGAUACGUUGGAGCCUGGAUUUUAAGUCAUGUGCUAAACCCAAAACUGAUGGUUUCUAAUCACUAUGAUAGGUUGCCUCCCUGCACGUACCUUCUUCAAAAUUCCCACAAACCUCUUCGCAAUUUCUCUCUAAUCAUGUGAAAUGGAAGUCAUUCACCUCUGUUAACUCCUCCUAACAGAAGGAAAUUCCCCCAGGACAAAAAUUCUCUGGAUCUAGCUUUUCAUCUCAUACCUGACACGGAGUGUUCAUUCAGUAAAGGCUAAAGGCCAUGUGAAAUAAAUCAAAGGGUACAAAACUUAUUUUUUAAAUGGUGGUGGAGAGAGAGACAUGGGUUCGGAGGAGCUCCUCGUCUAGCAGGGAAUAGGAAAUGAUCAACACGCAAGGUAAUUCAAUAGGAAAAAAGAAAAUUGCUAAGACAGAUUGGUGCUCAAAAGCUAGAUAAGUGUAUGGAAAAAAGCAAACCUUAACCCCUACCUCCAACUAUAUGCCAAAAUUAAUCCAACAGUGAUCACAGAUAUCUCUGAACAUAAAAGCUGAAAAUAUAAGGCUUCUAGAAGGAAACCUCAAAGAAUAUCUUUGCACUGUGUGUUAGGUAAAGAUUUCUCAAGACAAAAAAAA